UACGUAGGUGACCAGCGUUGUCCGGAUUUACUGGGCGUAAAGGGCGCGUAGGCGGUGCGGUAAGUCACUUGUGAAAUCUCCGAGCUUAACUCGGAACGGCCAAGUGAUACUGCAGUACUAGAGUGCGGAAGGGGCAAUCGGAAUUCCAGGUGUAGCGGUGAAAUGCGUAGAUAUCUGGAGGAACACCGGUGGCGAAGGCGGCAUCCUGGACCAACACUGACACUGAGGAGCGAAAGCCAGGGGAGCAAACGGG
rnacentral:rRNA from 1 species